AAUAUAUGCUAUUGGUAGAAUUGAUGGGGAUAUGGCUGAGCCCAUUUUGUGAAUUGGGUGUCGUUUAAAAACCAAAUAUAUUGGGAUUUUGUGAUUACAUCUGCUUUUGAAUAAGAUUCAGAGCCGUCAUAGACUUGCUUUUCUGCCUCUUUGAAUCACAUAUCUCUAAAAUUAUGUGAUUUUUUUUAUAAUUGAAUCAAAUUUGGUUGCUAAUGUAAUGCACAACACUUUGGUGUUAGGAUUGAACUAUGAAAUUAGACCUCUUCUUCCUUGCAGGGCAGCCCCUCUUGCCCUAGAAUAAAUAAUAAUUUGUGAAUUUGUGUGAAAUUUGAGGGUUUUAGUCCUUUUAGAGUGAUAUUUGAAUAUGAAACCCUAGAUUAAAGUAUAAUUUGUGAACUUGUGUGAAAUUUGAGGGUUUUAGAGUGAUAAUUAAAUGGCAAUCAUGGUAUUUUUGUGUCAGCAUAAUUUCUACGGGUUGUCGUUUUCGAGUUAUUUUUAUGAAUGGGAUAAUUUUGUGUGUUACACGAGAAAGAAAUUAUUUUAAUGAAGUUUAUCUCAAUUUUUGUGUUCAUUUGUAGUUUGUUGCAAGAUUUGGGGUUUAACACUAUACUUAAACUUUUUUGCAUAACCAAUUUUCGUUGAAUGAAAAGAUGUUUCCGGACGCCUCGAAAUUGUUUAUUGAUAGCAAAAGUAUUUUGUUGAAUAAUGUGUCGCCUAUCGGAAGCACAACGGUAUCUUUUCAUCUUGAGUAGGCUUUAUAAGCUAUGUUAAUUGGACUCGGGUACUUGUGUUGGACUUGGUUCGUCCAUGUCUAAUGUCCAAGUAUCUGACUUAUGUCUUUUAUUUUUUUACUUGAAUGGAGUAAUGAAGUGUCCAUCUUCAUUUCAUAUUGUCUAAUAUUGUACUUCGGCAACUAAGUCUAAAUGAAGAGUCCAAGUAAUGAUAGUUAUUGGUUUUUCAUGUUUACUUUCAAUUUCCUAUGUUUCUGCACAUCUCUGAUUUCAGCCACAGGAAUUAGAGGGAUAUAUGUUUGCCUUUGCUAUCUACAUCAAUAAGAGAUUGGGUGAGGAAAUUAUAAGUGAUAAGAAUGAAGGUGGUAAUCAGAGUGGAGUUACUUUGUGUCAGAUACUAAAAGCCGUGAAGUUGAAGUACUUUGUCACACUAUGAUUUUGAAUAUGACAUUUAUAUAAGUGAAUUGUAUUUGUUGUUUAGGAUGUGAUUAUUUUUAUUUUUUUUACCAGUAUUGUAGAUUUUUUCCAAAGAGCUUCCUUAGUUUAUUGUUAAGGUUGGCCCAAUCUUAAGUAACAUCUAUGGUAAAGAUUGGGAGAAGAGACUUGAGGUGAAGGAGAUCCAGGACAAUUUUGUGCAUUUGAGCCUUGUAAGCAAUAUUUUAAGCAAGUUCCUCCUACAUAUUCUCAACAAGUGACCGACAAGGUUAGGGAAAGGUGGACUUCAUAUGUUACUAGAUACCAUCAACCAAAUGACGACGACGAUUUAUGUGAAUUUUAGAUCAAUAUGAUAUUGGUAUAUCUUAGCAUAAUUUUUUUUAAAUCAACAUUAAUUAGAAAGGUUUUAUGAUUUUUAACUCGUAUUUGUUUGUAUAGAACAAAUUUUGAAUGAAUGAUUCAAUUUAAUUGCGGUUGGAUGUUUUGAAUAUGUCAUUAUUGGUUGAAUGACAUUUUAAUGAGCUUUGUUUGGUUUAUGUGCUUCCCCAUUGGAGAUGAUAUUUGUUGAUGAGCUUCUUCUCCUUCCCAAAAAUCCAAAACCUAAAAUAUCCAAAGCCCUAAAUCCAAAUUCUUUAGUUAGCUUCUCCUCUCCUUUCCAAUCUUCUUUAGCUAGUUCCUCUUCUUUUAAUCCAAAUUCUUUAGCUAGUACCUCUUCUCUCCCCUCCCCCUCUCAAUUCAAAAAAAAAAUGUGUUCUUUAAUUAGAUUAGACUUUGUAUAUAUUGUCUUUUCUUGUAGUCAUUUGGCUUGAUGAUUCGAUUAGUGUCUUUGAUGGUAAAAUGAAUUCAAGUGAGCUUGUGAUAUAAUUGUCUUAGUUUUGCAAAUGACGGUUUAUUUAUGAAUUGUGGAAUAUGAUUGUUUAACUCUUAUGUGUAUGAUCCACUCAUAAUAGUCCUUGUUUGAUUUGCUACUAAUCACUACACUUUUACCAUCUUGUAUAUAAGAGACACUACUACAUCAAGAUCAAUGGUAACUCCUUCCCUUGUAUUCUUGUUUAUAAUCCUCUAAAAAAAAUUGCUUUUAGACUAGUCCUCAUUGAUGAUAUCGGAUUGCAUGUGAUAGAUAUUUGCUUUCUUUUGGUAAUAAAAUUUCGAACAUGGUUUAGAUAUCCUUGGUUGAACAUAGAAUUGGCUAGUUUAAGCUAGUGUGAGAAUAACCUUACCGAAUGUACGAGACUUAAGGUCUGGGAUUGUGGUAAGAAGGUGUCGCCCAUAUCAAAGGAAUUUGAACCCCAAAAGGUAAUAUUUGAUCCCACAUUGUUUCUAAAAGUGAGGUUUUAAUAUUUUUCAAGCCUACUACAUUUUGAAUGAGUGGCAAGGAUCCUCUUUGAUUUAGUACCUAGAUCGAGAACUUGAGUCCCAACUCCUAAGAUUGCGGCCUAAACUACUUUUAGUGAUUGAUUAAGGUUGUUAUGUAUUGUUCAUUCACAAAAAAAAAAUGAAGUUCAGGCAUAUCAUUCUUGUUUUCUUAGUUCAAUCUUUAAUUUAUUGUAAAUAAUAGUUUGUGAUGUAAAUGUCCAAGUUUGGAAAAAUGAAAAAAUAAAAAAAAAGAAAGAAAAAAAAAAGAGAAAUAAAAGAAGUGAUGAAUAGCCACCACCCUAGCAAUUAAACAAGCUUGGGGGUGCGUUUUUGUUUUAAGUUUAUUCAUAGUUAGUAAUUUGGGUCAAAGUUAGAAACCUCUUUAGGUUUGUUCUUAGUGUUAUAUAUCUUAUCUUGACUUUAAUUUCAAAACACUUCUACUUUUCUCUAUGCCUUUACUUUGUGUCGUAAUCCUUGAGUUUUGUAAUAUUAGUAGAGUAGUUGAAGCCAUUGUCGGUGGAGGGAGUUGGUUCACAAGCAUAUGGAGAGGGUACUUAUCAUUGAGAUGUCCAGUGUUCUAAACCUUCUUUUGUCUAAUUUUCUUGCGGCUCCUUCGAGGAGUCAUGAGACACUAACAUUAGGGGGAAUUUGAACUUUGUGUUGGGGACGCAGUAAGAUAAGUUGAAUGGACCAAAGUUGAGUACAUUCGGGAAGGUUAGCUAGGUCUUGGCUAGUCAUGACCGUAGUUGAUCUUAGGCAUAUACCUCAUGCUCGAGUUUUAUUGCUUAAGGAAUCUUUUAUCUUUACAUGUGCUUUUCUUUGAGCAGACUAAUCUAUUGGUUUUGCGCCAAGUGAAUUACUUAGGGACAAGCAAUUGGCUAGCUUGAGGGAAUUUGAUAAGUAUUUUAUUUGUCCACUUAUCAUGGCACUUUAAACAUAAUUUUGUACUCUUUCCCCUACUUCAAUCCCUUUUUCUAACUCUUUUCGUUCACAUUUAUUGCUUUUAGCUUCCCCAAUCUUUUUUAUGUGUGUGUUCAUAUAGCAUAAGCAUGAAAAACUAUUUUGGAAGCGAAGCAAAGCAGGAGCGGGCGUGCACCCCAAGGAGCGGGCGCUCCUUCCUGAUCCACCACAAUCUGCCUACCGCCUGCACUUUAAGGAGCGGGUGUGCAAUCUUCAAGGAGCGGGCGCUCCUCCCUGAUCAUCUCCAUUCUGCCCUAAACUGCUGCACUAGGAGCGGGCACGUUGAGAGCCAAGGAGCAGGCGCUCCAUAUAGAGGAGUGGGCGCUCCUCCUGUUCUAAAUCCCGAUUUUUUACGGAUUUUAUGAUGUAAUUUUUGGGCAUAUAAAUAGGACGCUUGACUUCAUAUUUUGGGAUCUUCUUUCCCUUUAGUUUUCUUAGGCCCUUAGUUUCUCUAAACCCUCAUUAAUUAUCUUAGAUCUUCUCAAACUCAAUCAUUGUAGUAUAUUAAUUGAAGAUUGUUCUCUUGAAUUCAA